UACAGAGGUCUCAAGCGUUGUUCGGAUUCAUUGGGCGUAAAGGGUGCGUAGGUGGCGCCGUAAGUCAGGUGUGAAAUUUCGGAGCUUAACUCCGAAACUGCAUUUGAUACUGCGGUGCUUGAGGACUGGAGAGGAGACUGGAAUUCACGGUGUAGCAGUGAAAUGCGUAGAUAUGCGGAGGAACACCGAUGGCGAAGGCAAUCCCCUGGACCUGUACUGACGCUCAUGCACGAAAGCGUGGGGAGCAAACAGG
rnacentral:rRNA from 1 species